CCCUUAGAUGUCCUGGGCCGCACGCGCGCUACACUGAUGCAUUCAACGAGUUUUACCUUGGCCGAGAGGCCUGGGCAAUCUUUUAAACCCGCAUCGUGAUAGGGAUAGAUUAUUGCAAUUAUUAAUCUUGAACGAGGAAUUCCUAGUAAACGCAAAUCAUCAAUUUGCAUUGAUUACGUCCCUGCCCUUUGUGCACACCGCCCGUCGCACCUACCGAUUGAAUGGUCCGGUGAAGCCUCGGGAUUGUGGCCAGUUCACUUUAUUGGGAGUUGGCUGUGAGAACUUGUCUAAACCUUAUCAUUUAGAGGAAGGUGAAGUCGUAACA
rnacentral:rRNA from 1 species